rnacentral:rRNA from 1 species
AUGGUCCUCGGACUGCGAGAAUUUUCUCUAGGGCAAAACCCUUCUGAGGGCGAUCGAGGCAGAGUGGAUCGUCUGAGGUUUGCGGACUUCAAGACGGUUGGGGAGUACAAUUCGGCUUUGCACCGGAUUUGUACGACUCUUCGGUUGUGUGGUACUGAGAUUACCGACUCCCAGAAGAUUGAGAAAACCUUAUCCACUUUCCACCCCGACGCGGUCCAGUCCUCACGGAACUACCGCCAGGGGAACUACACGAGGUAUUCAGAGUUGAUUGAUGUCCUCCAGGUGGCGGAGGCGCAGGACGAGCACUUCUCCCGCCAGUGCCGCGCACCACAGGAGGUCAUUGAUGCAUAUAAGGCUCGGAAGGCGCGUGAGACGCACCUCGCCUUGGUUCAGGAGGGAGCACCACCGGCGCCCAUGGCGGCACCCGUGAUGAUCUCUACGCCCCCUGCUGCGCCCAUAGAGGCGACCCCCAUGGUGCCCAUCGCGACAGCUUUGGCGGUCUCUACCGACGCCCACGUCGCCAUGGAGGUUGACCACAUGGUCGCCUCGGUGGCGGCGCCGCCACUAGACAUUGAUGCUGCCUCCAAGAUGAUUUCUAAGGAGGAUCAUCUCACUAGUAUGGAGAUUGCGGCUGAAGUGAAUGGCUUCUUCACCGAGUCCACUUAG